rnacentral:lncRNA from 1 species
GGUCCUAUAUGAGUGGGAAGUGCUUCUGUGUCCAAUGACCUGUUGUCCUGAUUCUGGGGUUGCCGGGGACUUCGACAUCUCCCCUCAUGAAGGAGAGGAAGCUGCUACCUGGUGAACCCCCUCUAAACCUUGGAGUUAAACUCUCGGGUCUGAGAGAUGCUUGAUCUCGUGAGAGAGCCUAAGGACAGGUGAGAACCAGCAUUAAUUCUGUGAGCUACUGGCUGUUUCUUGGGAGCGCUUUGUUUUGACUUGAGGCACUCUGCAUGGCCAGGGACCUCUCUGAAUGACACAGCUUUAGUUCUUUUUUGCUGUUAA